GCCGCUGUAGCUCAGGGGUAGAGCAACGGUUUCGUAAACCGUAGGUCGCCCGUUCAAACCGGGCCAGCGGCUCGA
rnacentral:tRNA from 1 species